rfam:Pteropus alecto contig104228, whole genome shotgun sequence.
UUAAAGGCUCUUUUCAGAGCCACUUCCAUAGUCACAAAAAAAGACAG